rnacentral:rRNA from 1 species
UACGUAGGGUGCAAGCGUUGUCCGGAAUUAUUGGGCGUAAAGAGCGUGUAGGCGGCCAGAUAAGUCCGCUGUGAAAUUUCGAGGCUCAACUUCGAGCUGUCGGUGGAAACUAUCUGGCUAGAGUCCGGAAGAGGAGAAUGGAAUUCCUGGUGUAGCGGUGAAAUGCGCAGAUAUCAGGAAGAACACCCGUGGCGAAGGCGGUUCUCUGGGACGGUACUGACGCUGAGACGCGAAAGCGUGGGGAGCGAACAGG